CGCUAAUGAUGCCCCUGCGGUCUCUUACCUGCAUACCUGGUGGAGCAGUGUAGUCUAAACAACGGCAUCGGAGCCUUUCUAAAAGGGGGCGGUUGGUAUGAAGUAUUUCUAUGGGUAAAUUAAUCCAAUUCAACAACUACGUUCAAUACUGAAGCAGGUUAUAUAUUUGUAGUCUCCUGGGUAUUUUAAAUUUGCAACACCAAUACUACCACACUACGACGACGACUGCUACAGUAAUUUGCUGCUUCGGACACAAAUGACAUGAAAUGAGCAUGCGGAGACCAUUCUGCCCAGCAGUGCCUGUUAGAUCUUAAAGGAUCUUUGUUGGAUCUUCAAGGAUCCCAACGAUUCAGCAUCAGGAACAUGGCGAGGCUAAACAAAUCCAGGUGUCUUCUUAACUCAUUCCUUUAAGCCCUGGGAUUGUCUGGCUCCUCUUCGCUGGACUCUCUCCAGGGCCACUCUGUCCUUUAUGUAUCGGGGGGGACCAGAACUGGACACAGAGCUCUAAGUGUGGUCUCACCAGUACCUAAUGUGACCCCAUCCUCUCCCUGCUGCACGCUGCCUGUCCUCAGUGUGUGGAUAACAUCCAGACUGGGUGUGGAGAGCCCUGACAGUGUUUGACCUGUUCCCAUCCAUACACAGCCGCCUCGUCUCUGCUUCAGAGACUGGGGACUGUUCAAAUGAUCUGGAUACAGCCAGUGGACAUCAACGUGCUUGUGCUAGGAACUGGGACACAUCUGUUCCCUGCAAACCAGAGAAAAACACUGGACCUGCACACUGGGCAGGGCAGUGCUUACCUUGCUAACAUGAGUUCAGCUCCACACUGAGAGAAUACUGGGAGGACCUGCACACUGGGCAGGGCAGUGCUUACCUUGCUAACGU